AGAAUAAGGGAUGUGCUAAGCAAAGGCAAUAGCGAGGCCCAGGCCCUCAAGUGGAAAUGAGCUUGACUUGUUCUAGCAGCAGCAGCAAACAGAUUGGUGUGGCCGGAGCAUGAGUCCAACUUAGGUCUAGAAAUCAGCAUUCACUGUCCAUGUCACACCUUUCAGCCCAAUGGAGAUAUCCUGGAAAACAUUCACGAGGUGAUGGAAAUCAAAUUCAAAGGCGUGGACAAUGAGGAUGACCAUGGCCGUGGAGAUCUGGGGCGCCUCAAGAAGCAGAAGGAUCACCACAACCCUCAUCUAAUCCUCAUGAUGAUUCCCCCACACCGGCUCGACAACCCGGGCCAAGGGGGUCAGAGGAAGAAGCGGGCCUUGGACACCAAUUACUGCUUCCGCAACUUGGAGGAGAACUGCUGUGUGCGCCCCCUCUACAUUGACUUCCGACAGGAUCUGGGCUGGAAGUGGGUCCAUGAACCUAAGGGCUACUAUGCCAACUUCUGCUCAGGCCCUUGCCCAUACCUCCGCAGUGCAGACACAACCCACAGCACGGUAUGGAGGAGGCUCAUGCCAUCUGAGGCACUGGGGCUGACCGACCGGGCCACUUGUUAAAA
rnacentral:sRNA from 1 species